rnacentral:lncRNA from 10 species
GAUCGCCCCGCCCCGGUCGCUUGGGCCCUGGGUGGCAGGUUUGCGCAGCCCUGCGGCGAUUUCAAGGCAAGUGACCGGAAUGGGUCGGAAGCGCGUCCCGGUGAGUUUCAGGGAGCGUCCCUUAGGUUUCCGGGGGCGGCGUUGAACCUCCCUAGCCCCAGUCUUCCCAUCCCAGGAGACCCGCCCCUAGUGGCUCGAACGCCCCUAGCCAGGAGAGCCCCGAGUAGUGCCACUUGUGGAAGACUACGUGCCUGUCGGAAUUAGGAACCGCACCUCCCCUUCCGCUAAGCGGUGGGAGGCCAGGCGGGUGACGCGGAGCAGUGGAGCCAUGCAGCCUGUUUUACCAAAAGAGUAAGUGGUUUUCCUGUGAAACCCGAGGGAGCAGUGCAUAUCUGAUACACUUAGAGGGUCACGUGCACUAUUAAUGUGUUAACAUUAAACUCACUGAAGAGUAGAAAACACAUGUAAGACUUAACUGUGUGCCAGGCACUGUUCUAGGUACUUCACAUGUACUAAAAGUUCUCUGAAGCGUAUAUUAUCAGAAUCCCCCUUUUCACAUACGGUGCAAGUGAGGCAGAGAGAAGCUAAAUAACUUGCCUAAUGUCACCCAACUAGUAAAUUGAGA